GACAGUUCUCGGGUGAUGCACCCCAGAAUCGGGCUCCCUCCUCUCUGGUUCCAGGGGGCAUAACCUGAGAACCAUC
rfam:Myotis davidii contig111042, whole genome shotgun sequence.